GAGUUUGAUCCUGGCUCAGAAUGAACGCUGGCGGCGUGCCUUACACAUGCAAGUCGAGCGAGGCGGCCCGCAAGGGUCAGUCGAGCGGCGGACGGGUGAGUAACGCGUGGAUAACCUACCCAGAGGUGGGGGAUAACCCGGGGAAACUCGGGCUAAUACCGCAUGAUACCGAGAGGUCAAAGGGGGCUCGCAAGAGCUCUCGCCAUUGGAGGGGUCCGCGUCCGAUUAGCUAGUUGGUAGGGUAAUGGCCUACCAAGGCGACGAUCGGUAGCCGGCCUGAGAGGGUGAUCGGCCACACUGGAACUGAAACACGGGCCAGACUCCUACGGGAGGCAGCAGUGGGGAAUCUUGCACAAUGGGGGAAACCCUGAUGCAGCGACGCCGCGUGAGCGAUGAAGCCCUUCGGGGUGUAAAGCUCUUUCGGCAGGGAAGAUUGUGACGGUACCUGCAGAAGCAGCUGCGGCUAACUACGUGCCAGCAGCCGCGGUAAUACGUAGGCAGCGAGCGUUGUUCGGAGUUACUGGGCGUAAAGGGUGUGUAGGCGGUUGUUUAAGUUUGGUGUGAAAUCUCCCGGCUCAACCGGGAGGGUGCGCCGAAUACUGAAUGACUAGAGUGUGGGAGAGGUGAGUGGAAUUCCUGGUGUAGCGGUGAAAUGCGUAGAUAUCAGGAGGAACACCGGUGGUGUAGACGGCUCACUGGACCAUAACUGACGCUGAGACACGAAAGCGUGGGUAGCAAACAGGAUUAGAUACCCUGGUAGUCCACGCCGUAAACGAUGGAUGCUAGCCGUUGGCAGGCUUGCCUGUCAGUGGCGCAGCUAACGCAUUAAGCAUCCCGCCUGGGGAGUACGGUCGCAAGAUUAAAACUCAAAGGAAUUGACGGGGGCCCGCACAAGCGGUGGAGCAUGUGGUUCAAUUCGAAGCAACGCGAAGAACCUUACCAGCCCUUGACAUGUCCCGUAUGAGAACCAGAGAUGGAUCUCUUCAGUUCGGCUGGCGGGAACACAGGUGCUGCAUGGCUGUCGUCAGCUCGUGUCGUGAGAUGUUGGGUUAAGUCCCGCAACGAGCGCAACCCUCGCCCUUAGUUGCCAUCAUUCAGUUGGGCACUCUAAGGGGACUGCCGGUGAUAAGCCGCGAGGAAGGUGGGGAUGACGUCAAGUCCUCAUGGCCCCUACGGGCUGGGCUACACACGUGCUACAAUGGCGGUGACAAUGGGAUGCGAAGGGGCAACCCGGAGCUAAUCUCAAAAAGCCGUCUCAGUUCGGAUUGCACUCUGCAACUCGAGUGCAUGAAGUCGGAAUCGCUAGUAAUCGUGGAUCAGCAUGCCACGGUGAAUACGUUCCCGGGCCUUGUACACAC
rnacentral:rRNA from 1 species